CUCACCGCACCGUGGCUCGGAGGAGUUGCAUCUUUUUGCCUCGGGAGCCUGGCGCAUCGGAGCUUCCCUGCACUCAUCCACGCGGGAUGGUCACCUCCACUCCGGAAUGGGCGUUCCCAACCUCCAGAGGCACGUGACUUUAAAGACCAUAUCCUCACAAAAUAGGAUCAAGUAAAAGCUGCUCAGUGGUGAAGACGCGGAGCUGGACCAGCCCCGGUGCUGGGUGCAGCAGCCGCUGUGCAGGAGGCCGUGUCUGUCCUGUCCAAGAGAGUUGGAGUCAGAACCUCACCUGGAGCCCCACUCCUCCUAGAAUAGAGGAACGGCCCAGGCCACACCCCAGCCGCACCAGUACAGCAGCUGCUUUGCAAAGUGGAUGUCCGCAGGUGCUUCCAACGCAUGUCAGAACUAAGCUGGAGCCCUGUCCACGCUCCUUCGUGCUCUGUCGGGAGGCUCCGCAGGAGCUGGCCGCUGGGUGGGACGCCAGAAGGUGGCUUCAUCUUCCCCGCAGGCUGGGUGAAAAUUCAAAACCAAGGGAAAUUACUGCCGUCAGGGUUGCGGCUUCAGCCAGAGCUUGCCUCCCAGUCUCACACUCAUGCUCUCCUGUGGAAUCAGGCUCUGCGAUUCUUUUGCCCGGAGCAGAAAGGACCUGCGACACGGCCUGGGGAGACGGCUCCACCGUCUGAGGUAGCAGCAAACAAAGCAGCAGCAUGGAGGGUCAGGGGCGAGGGGAGCAGUCCCGGCUGUCUGCUGGCUUUCUGCUUUCUAAGCUUUUAUUUUCAUAGGGAGGAGAGAGAGGGCGCCUGAGUCUGACAAGAGGGUCUCAGCUCCCGUGCUGGCAACUCUCCUGCCGGCCACAGGGACCUCCGGGCCAUGGCGCCCGGCCGGCCUACUGGGUGACAAGCUUGGAGGGUGUGUGGAAGGGCCCAGCUGCUGUGAGGGUGCCGGUGUUCCCUCCCUCGCCUCCUGCCGCACCUGCUCUGAGCUGAGUUCUGCCAUCACAGAUGUGGGUUCGGCAGAGAGACCACCUGGCAAUGAGGCACACGUGUCCGGAUGGAGUGUCUGUAAGGGACGUUUGCUGAUGACUUGCCGAGGCUAUGGUAGAACCCGCCGGCCGUGGAAAGCAGGAGCUGGCACUGGCUGUAGCGCCCGGACCCCAGGCCUCCCGCCUGUGGCCCAGCUUCCUGGCUGCCUCAUAGCUCUAAAGCAAACGCCCUGGCCAAAGAGACGCAUCUCAUCCCCAGCAGUCCCCAGCUCCUGACGCAGCAUGGACCCCUCACUCGCUCCUCCAGGCAGCCCAGGGCCUAUGGUGAUAGAGCCUCUAGAGUGGCGGACCAGGUUCUGAGGGUCUUUAAAACAGUCACCAAUGGGAAGUUUUGUUCACAGAAAUUUAACAUUGAGAAACAAAUGGAAACAUAACAGAAAAGACCGAUUACGUUUCCCAAGUUGGAAAGAAUCGGGUUCCAUCUGCCCAGGAGAAACAGGCGUCUCCACGUGCUGGGAGUGGCGCGUGGGAAGUAGAGGGAGUCUCAAGAACAGCAAGCCAGGGGCGCUGACCUGCAGGGAGGGGCGCCAGGGGCCCAGGGUGGCCUCUCAGGUUCACGAACCAGGGAAGGGACCCCAGCAGACGUGGACUUGCCCACAUCGCCCCUGGGGGAGGCUCUCCAGCCAGCUGAGGACAUACCCGGGGCUCCAGCCCCAUCCACAGCCUCCCUCCCGGUCCGUGAAGGAUUGGUCUCACCCAUGGCAGGAGGUUCUCACCGCGUGGCCUGUGGGUCCUGGCAUGGGGUAAGUUCCCAGGGACUCUGCCAGUGGGUCUGCAGAUCAGAACUACGUUUGUGACAAAGCUAAGUGACACUGUGUGACAAUAUGUCACUACUUUUGUGACAAUGCCUUCUCCAGCGGGCGACAUCUGCGAAUGGCGGCUCCGUAUUGGGCACAGGGCGGCAGCUCCACACCCUGCCUUCCCACCACCAGCACUUACUGUGCAGUAGAAACAAUAGCUCCACUUUUAAAAGGCCCCCUGGGGCAGAAAAACUAUCCGUUCUGUUCUAUCUCAGCCUUGCACACAGCACAGCAGGGUGCAUGGCCACAGGUGGGGCAGUACACGGGAAAUGCAGGCAGAGUGCGUGGACCACACAUGGAAGCUGACGGGACUGGGAGAAAGUGUGUGGCUGAGUCUGGAGCCACGGCCCCCACCCCCCAGCUACGUCUGUACCUGAAAAAACAACCAACUAGCCACGGUCAUCGGGCAUCGGGCAGGCAUUUUCUUGAAAAUGAGCAAAAUGAGCCUGUUGCUUUAAGGUAAACUUGCAGUAUUUGUUGCCAAUAACAAAAUUUGAGCUUUCAAGCAAAAAUUAGAAUUUUGGAAAACUUGUAUCCAUCACUGUGAGCUUCCCAGUCAGCACUUCAAGACUUUUCCGAGGAAGUUGGUGGUGAUAUUCGCAAAUGUGACUUUUGAUAUUAAAUAAACAAACACGUCAACAUUUGGAAGCUCCACAUGACUCGGUGAACUGACCUUUUCCAGAUGACUGUUGCAGGAUGCUACGAAGCCACGCCGGGUGAGAACCCACCCAAAGCGUGUGAUCGCCUCACGUCACAGCCUGGCUGAGCGCAGAGCGCAUGCACCAUGGUCUCCGGUUCCACAGCAGCUCACCUUGAGGAAACCGUCACUUACCACGUGUUGCAUAACCCCAAGAAAGACGACGCGUAAUGAUCCAAAAAGGCUGGUAAAUAAUCCUCUGUCCCAACUCAAUGUCUGUGUGUGGCCAGGUUUUCUUCUCAAUUUCAACCAGAGCAACAGUAUCACAGCAGUUCAAAUCAGAGAACCCAGUGAAAGGGGUUUGCAAAAUGUAAGAUAAUGCCAUUCUUUUUACUAAAAAUAUUACUAAAAUUUUAUCCUAUAUGUUAACACUUAAUGGGUUUAUUAUUGCUGUUUUUAAAUGGAUCAGAAAAGGAUGAAAUGGUUGCUUUGCAGCAAUGUGGAUGGAAGUGGUGCCCAUUCUCUUAAGUGGAACAGAAAGACAAACGCUGCAUGUUCUUACUCAUAAGUGGAGCUGAAUCACGUGUGGACACGGAGUGUGGAAUGACAGGCCGUAGAGUCCGGGAGGGAGUGGGGGGUUGGGGAGAAAGUACUUAACGGGUACAGCACACCUUAUUGGGGUUCCCUAAAAGCCGUGGCUUCACCACUGUGCAAUGUAUGCCUGUAACAAAAUUACACUUGUGCCCCAUAAAUUUACAUAAAUCUAAAAUGUAUAAGUAAAUUUUGAAAUGUAAACAUAAAUGAAG